rnacentral:rRNA from 1 species
GAUGAACGCUGGCGGCGUGCCUAAUACAUGCAAGUCGAGCGAACAGACGAGGAGCUUGCUCCUCUGACGUUAGCGGCGGACGGGUGAGUAACACGUGGAUAACCUACCUAUAAGACUGGGAUAACUUCGGGAAACCGGAGCUAAUACCGGAUAAUAUAUUGAACCGCAUGGUUCAAUAGUGAAAGACGGUUUUGCUGUCACUUAUAGAUGGAUCCGCGCCGCAUUAGCUAGUUGGUAAGGUAACGGCUUACCAAGGCAACGAUGCGUAGCCGACCUGAGAGAGUGAUCGGCCACACUGGAACUGAGACGAGGUCCAGACUCCUACGGGAGGAAGCAGUAGGGAAUCUUCCGCAAUGGGCGAAAGCCUGACGGAGCAACGCCGAGUGAGUGAUGAAGGUCUUCGGAUCGUAAAACUCUGUUAUUAGGGAAGAACAAAUGUGUAAGUAACUAUGCACGUCUUGACGGUACCUAAUCAGAAAGCCACGGCUAACUACGUG